AAAGUCGUAACAAGGUUUCCGUAGGUGAACCUGCGGAAGGAUCAUUAAUAUUUGAGUCGGGGUUGUUCUUGUGGUCUUCGUUCGGUUCUUGUUUGUGUUAGUUAAAAAGCCCGGGAAUAACUCUGACACAAAUAUAUGAACACUUUUUUAUUCUCUCUGUAUUUUUUUAACCAAAAAUAUAAGGAGCAAGAUGAUAUAUUUAAAACCCAACUCUUUAAAUGUUUUUAUAACUAUUGUGUAUUUUAAAUAAAAAAGAUCACUUUCAACAACGGAUCUCUUGGCUCUC
rnacentral:misc_RNA from 1 species